AUGCUUGCUUCGACAGCACAUAUAUUGUAUUUUCAAUGACCCAGAAAAAAAUAGCAGGACUCCUGUACAGAGACAACAAUUAUGCUUGUGAAACAUUCAUUAUUUUU
ensembl:snRNA U6 U6 spliceosomal RNA